GACAGAGGCCCCGAGCGUUAGGCGGAAUCACUGGGCUUAAAGCGUGUGUAGGCGGACUUCUAAGUGCCUUGUGAAAUCCCACGGCUCAACCGUGGAACUGCUGGGCAUACUGGGAGUCUUGGGCCAUUCAGGGGCAACUGGAACAAGCGGUGGAGCGGUGAAAUGCGUAGAUAUCGCUUGGAACGCCGAAGGUGAAAACAGGUUGCUGGGGAUGUGCCGACGCUGAGACACGAAAGCCAGGGGAGCAAACGGG
rnacentral:rRNA from 1 species